rnacentral:rRNA from 1 species
AGUGAACGCUGGCGGUAGGCCUAACACAUGCAAGUCGAACGGCAGCACAGUAAGAGCUUGCUCUUACGGGUGGCGAGUGGCGGACGGUUGAGGAAUACAUCGGAAUCUACUUUUUCGUGGGGGAUAACGUAGGGAAACUUACGCUAAUACCGCAUACGACCUACGGGUGAAAGCAGGGGAUCUUCGGACCUUGCGCGAUUGAAUGAGCCGAUGUCGGAUUAGCUAGUUGGCGGGGUAAAGGCCCACCAAGGCCACGAUCCGUAGCUGGUCCGAGCGGAUCGACCGCCACCCUGGAAGUGAGAAACGGUACCGACUCUUACGGGGGGACGCAGCGGAGACUACUGGACAAUGGGGGAAAGCCUGAUCUAGCCAUACCGCGUGGGUGAAGAAGGACCUCGGGUUGUAAAGUCAUUUUGUUGGGAAAGAAAAGCAGCAGGUUAAUCCCCCGCUGUUCUGACGGUACCCAAAGAAUAAGCACCGGCUAACUUCGUG